GAGUUUGAUCCUGGCUCAGGAUGAACGCACAAGACGUGCCUAACACAUGCAAAUCGAAUGAAGCCAAUAAUUAAUUAUUGGUUUCAUGGUGAACGGGUGAGUAACACAUAAGAAUCAGCUUUUAGAUAAGGCAUAAAAGAGUAAUAUCUUGGUAAUUCCUUAUAUGCGCAGCAGUGCUUAAAAAGGGGACUCCCGUCUAAAAACGAGCUUAUGCCUGAUUAGCUAGUUGGCGAGUUAAAAGCUCACCAAGGCGAAGAUCAGUAGCUGGCCUGAGAGGGCGGCCAGCCACAUUGGGACUGAGACACGGCCCAAACUCCUACGGGAGGCAGCAGUGGGGAAUCUUCUGCAAUGGGCGCAAGCCUGACAGAGCGGCGUCGUGUGAAGGAAGAAGGCCUGAAAUAGGUUGUAAACUUCUUUUACUGAGUAAUGAAUAAUGACAACGCAGUAAAAAAGUAUCGGCUAACUCCGUGCCAGCAGCCGCGGUAAUACGGGGGAUGCAAGCGUUAUCCGGAAUCACUGGGCGUAAAGCGUCUGUAGGUGGUUUAGUGUGUUCUUAGUUAAAUUAUGAAGCCUAACUUCAUGAAAAGUAAGAAAACUAUUAGACUUGAGUACGAUAGGGGUAAGAGGAAUUCUUCGAGAAGUAGUGAAAUGCGAAGAUACGAAGGAGAAGAUCAUAAGCGAAGGCUUCUUACUGGGUCGUAACUGACACUGAGAGACGAAAGCUAGGGGAGCGAAUGGGAUUAGAUACCCC
rnacentral:rRNA from 1 species